GAAAGAAGUUAUUGAUAUACACAAACGCAGAAACACACAUUUUGUGUACCUGCAUACUAAACUCAGAGCUGCGCGCUUUCAUUCCGUGCCCUCUGUGACUCUUCCUCUGUGGCGCUUGCGCGCGCACACGACUCUCUUCUUUCCUGUCUGCCGGCUCUUUCCUCUCAAGCAUUUUUCGCUAUGCGAUAGCUGCUGUUAUCUUUUCUUCACUCUUUCUGGGCGCGCACAUCACCACAGGUGCUCCUCGCAUCGUGACGAACGGUCUCUACCCCCUUUUUUAUCUGUGGAUCGUUGGUUGCCUUGCAUAAUCGGAGGGCGGAGGUGAGGCCACACGAGACGUGCGGCUGUUUCGUUUCCAUUUUUUUCUGUUGUUUUUUCUUGCAUCCUCUCCGCAUCCAGCAGAUCUUUGGGUGGCCCUUCGCUGUGUAUUUGGGGUUUUCCUUUUUGUUUCGCGGCGGCUGUACAGCCUGUGUCGUCGUCUGCGUGUGCGUGCUUGUGUGUGCGUGUGGGUGUGUGCCAUCAUCCUCUUUUUCCGCUUCUCUUUUAUUCCUUUUUUCGCCUCACCACACCCGUCCUCCUUUGUUUGGUGCUUAUCUUUUUUUGUUUUCAUUCCCUCCUCCCCCUUUCCCAGUCGGCGUCGUCUCUCUCCCGCCGCUCCUUUUUUUUCGUUGUUGUUGCCCGAAGCAGACACACCCACACCGACACGGAAAAAGGCAGCGAGUUCCGGUCCCUGCUUGCUCCUUCGAUACUUGUGGCCUAUGUCGUCUUCUGCAGGCGACUACGGUGAGUCCUAUCAGCGGUCCGACGAGCGCAACGAGUUGGCGCCGUCUGGGGAGAAGAGCGAAAAUGCCGCGUACGGUUGGCCUUCAGAGAUGCUGAACGCGUGCACAGACUUUUCAGCGCCACAGAGUUCGUACCAGCUUAACGCGCAGACACCUCCUCCGUUCGCGCCGUUCGCACCGUCGCCGCUGAGCCGACCCGCUUCACAAUCCGCCCCGACGCAGCAGCGUAGUGAGGGCACCCCUUUGCAGGCAGAGACUGCCCGAAAGCACGGCUCAUCGUUAAGGGCUCACACCUCCACCUUUCACUCGACCUUGUCCUCCGCCGCGCCGAGUCUCGGUUCAGGUGAGCUCUCAUCGUCGCCCUUUCCACACCGGCACUCCGAUACUUACGAGAGGCCGCUGCCGCCCGAGGCCCUCGGCGCUCGGCAGCUUGUCGACUAUAUCUUCACUCCCCACUCCCCUGGGCGUCCCCACAGCUCCCUGUCGCCGCCGUCCGUCGUGCCCCGACCCUCCCCGCGUGAGAUCGGCUGGCCGAUGCCGUUGCUUGCUGAGCCGGUGAACCCAAGCUCGGGGCGGCGGCUUGUCUUCUUUGGCAAGGGCCAGCAACCCCAGUUUGUAUUGGGGGAGAAAAAGAACCGCUUUAUUGCGGUGACGUUUAAGCCAAUCCUAUCCGUCGCAGCUGCGGCCGUCGUUAGCGCCGCACCUGAGCUCGGAGACACUAGCACCACCACUGGCUACGCGUCCUACGGUACGGUACUGGGCUAUUCCGACGACAACACGAAGAUCGUGUGGCACGACCGGUCGGAGCGGUUUGCCAGCUACGUCUCACUCUCCAGCAUUCAGUCCAUUCACCGCGCUUCCGCCAUGCAGUGCAGGCACUGCGGGUUUGUGCUGCUCAAGCAGGAGCUGCGAGAGCACAUGAAUACGCACAAGAAAGGCUCCGGCGUCGAGUACGGGGUCUUCACGGACGAUGAGUCGCUCGGCAUGCUGUGCGGUGAUUCGGGGCUCAUGCAGAAUCUGGCCUCGCCGCGCCGGCUGGGUGAGGGUGCGCAGGGCGUUGUAGACCUGAUGGAGGUGGUGCAGCCAACAAUGGAGGAGGUCGCGCAGGCUGGCCCAUCGAGUGCGGCGUACCGCUUCGUCAGCGAGCAUCUCUCUCACGAGAGUCGACUGCAGAAGGUUGUGCUGAAGUCGAUGCAUUUCAGCAGCGAGGCGAAAGCGCUGGAUGAGUACCAGAAGUCCGUUCGCUUCAUGACGGUAAUGCAGCAUCCUCACCUCGUCGAGUACCUAGCCGUGCAACUGAAGCCGGAUCGACGCACGGUGUGCAUUUGCAUGCCCUAUUAUCAAGAAGGUGACGUGGGGGCAAUGAUCCGCAGCUUCCGCGGCGACCACUUUGACGAGAGCUUCGUCUGCUCCGUUGCACUCCAGCUUUCUCUCGCCCUUGCCUUUCUGCACGAGCGCAACCCGCCGAUCGUCCACGGUGACCUGAAGGUGGAGAACGCCAUGUUUUACAACAACAAACAGCAGAUUGUUCUGACGGACUUGGACGCCAGUCGCGAGGUGCUGGGUGGGUACCAAGAAGCGGUGCAGUCGUCCCUGGGCACCACCGCGUACAUGGCACCAGAGACGCUGAAGGUAGAGCGGCUCAUGCCGUCGUCGGAUAUGUGGAGCCUGGGUGUCUUUCUUUAUGUCCUCACCGUGCUUCCGGACUUUCCGAUGAUCCUGAAUCCCAACACCCAAAACCUCGACCUGCUCAAUGCAGACUGCUGGGCCACCGAGGAGGACCUUCGCGCGAUGGAGUCCUACUCCAGCGCCCUGAACGACGGCCACUCCAAUGCGCCGUCCGUGAACGCCGGCAGCGGCAACUGCGGCAUUACCUUGGGGGAAUGUGUGCGAGCAAACAUCACACGCAAAGGAUACUCCCGCGAUCUCGCGCAGCUUGUCGUGGACUUACUGUCUUACAACCCACUGAAGCGGCCCACGGCGGAAGUGGUGGGGUGUCGCCUGACGGAGAUCAUGACGGACUACCUGCUGGAAUUUUAGUCUUCAAGCGGCUCGACUGGUACAUUUUUGUGCGUACGGUCGGUUGAGUAUGAGCACUGAGUGCACGCAGCGCGCGUCACGUUGUGUACUUUACAUGGGCGCACUGAUGCGCAUACUCUCACACACAUCCGCAAGUGGUUUUUCUUGUGUGUGUGUGUAUUUUGCGCGGGGGUUUCGAGGGCCACGUGUCAUUGCCCUCAGGUGUGUACGUGUCGGCCUCUCGGUCAGCUCUUUGGGUCAUGGGCCGCCAGAGGUGGCCGGUUUUGCCGUCUUCCUCGUGUUUCUUUUCGUGACGUAUGGCGCGGUUUUUCUCUCCAUUUGCUCGCACUCUUCUUUCGAUGGCCUCACUCUCCCCCCUCCCUGUCGCGCCUUUGCGCACGGUGCGACGGCAGCCUCUCUCACGCCUCGUCUCUUCUAUUUUGCUUCCCCCCUCUUCCCGUUCUCCUCCCAUUCGAUGCGGUCAAUGCGGGGAGGGGGUUGGAAGUGCGCGGUGGGGUGGGAGGGGCGGUGUUGUCUCCGCUUUCACCGUGCAUUUGCGUUGCAUAGCUUUCCCAUUCCUUUUUUUCUUUGGUCGUCGUCGUUGUUGGUUUGAUCGUAUUGCCUCUGUCGGGCGCUGUUUGCGCACUCCUUCCGUUUUUCUCGUGUUGUCCAGUGUUCUCUUGCGCUCUUCACCCCCACCCCCUUCUUGCUGUUUUCCAGCCUUGCACUUAUGGGUACGAGUGAGACACUGGAUAAACCCGCACGUACACACAUACACACAAGCGCACACACUGCCGCGAGCGCCUUGGGCUCAUAGGGGUGCCCAUGCGAGGUGUUGAGAAGGUUCGCAUGGGCAAACGGCAGCACGGCGAUUUUCUCGUUUCGCUCCGCGUUUGAGCUCUUCAUGGUGGCCGAUCCCCCUCUUGCACGCGGGGCGCGGAUGGAGGAGGGGGUGGGUGGGUACGAAAACAGGCGAGCGGCGACGACACUGGUGCGUCUGUGCAGAGUGCCGUCGUUGUUGCAGCGCCUGACAGCCACCCCAUGGCGAGGUUGAAGGCAUGGGAUGGGGACGAAGUGGCUGGAACGAUGCUGCUGUACAGCAAAGUGCUCGACUACGUCGCUCCAGGCUGUGCGCUGCCUUCCCCUCCCCACGAAGUAUCGCUCAUCCAACUCUUUUCAUUCUGCAUUCUUUCUCUUUUUCUCCUCCGCCCUUUGCGGGCCUCCUGCGUGUAUGUGUGUGGGCGUGGGCGGUGUUCAUAUGCUCGCGGCACUUGAUGUGAAG
rnacentral:misc_RNA from 1 species